rnacentral:rRNA from 1 species
CAUGUCCUUUUGUGAUAAAUUAAAGGUUUGGCCUGCUCAAUGAAUUUUAAAUAGCCGCAGUAUAUUGACUGUGCAAAGGUAGCAUAAUAAUUAGUUUCUUGAUUAGAAACUGGAAUGAAUGGCUGGACAAGAAAAUUUCUGUCUCUUUUUUAAUAUUAUUGAACUUUAUUUUUAAGUGAAAAAGCUUAAAUUUUUAUAAAAGACGAGAAGACCCUAUAGAGUUUAAUAUUUAUUUUAAAUGAUAUGUUAGAAUAUUAUUUUUUUUAUUAAAUAUUUGGUUGGGGUGAUUGAAAGAAAUAAAUAAUUCUUUUAAUAUUUAAUUGAUAAUUUUCAAUUUUUAGAUUUAUAAUUUAUAGAAUUAAAAUAAAUUACCUUAGGGAUAACAGCGUAAUUUUUCUUUAAAGUUCUUAUUAAAAGGAAAGUUUGCGACCUCGAUGUUGGAUUAAAAUUAAUUUUUGGUGCAGUAACUUAAAAAUUAGGUCUGUUCGACCUUUAAAAUUUUACAUGAUCUGAGUUUAAACCGGUGUGAGCCAGGUUGGAUUCUAUCUUUAGAAAUAUUUUAUAUUUUAGUACGAAAGGACCAGAUAUAAAUUAAAUUAAUUGU